UUAGGGACUUACAUGCAUUCUCCCUGCUUUUAAUGGUCCACUGCUCACUUAACCAAGAGUUGGUGAUGUAAUAAACAGUCAGAUCCUUGCAUUGCAACAGAAUACCAGUGAGCUCCAUAAAGGGAGACGUGCAGGCCAACAACACCAUCCUUGUUCUGGUAACCAGUGCCUCAGAGCACUCCUAGGAGCCCCUUAUCCUCUUUACACGGAACCAAUCUGCCUUGUUCAGAGUCCCCACAGCUGGAUUUAGACCUCAUUCUCUACCCCUUCAUCCAAUAACAAGCAUCCAGCACCUCGUGGGCACCCAUGAAACAUCCUCAAGGCACCCUGAAGAGCUGUUGUGAGUCAGGUUGUAAGGGGCGAGGUCCACCUGCUGAGUCACCUGUUGAGGGGCUGGCUCGAGGACUGAACUGGGCAGCGAGGAUGGAGCCUGGAGCAGCAGGCAGGCAGGAAGAUCAGGGGUGAAUGACUGUGCUAGAGGAAGGCCUGGAGACCCCGGAAUCAAUACUUACUCCCCAGUGCUGCACUCGAAGGCCCAAAUUCUCAAGCACCACUGAGAAAAGAAAGGAAGUCAGACUGCUCUUGGGCUUCUUCACGUUCCUACCCAGCAAAAAGAAGCAGGUAGAAUGGAGGCCCCAGAGCCUCCCUCCUCUCCAGGGUGAGAAAAGUCAGAGGCUCAAAUUAAAGUGUUAUCUUGUUGGCAAAAGAAGCGUGAAACAUUCACUGCUGGGCCCUUUUGCAGCAAUCCCGAUGAGAUGAGCUCCUGUGUUUUCAUUCUGAGGUGUUAAAUAUUGCCAGAGAAAAGGCAUUCUGUAGGUAUUUAGGUCAAAUGCUAGGAUUUCUUUCUUUUUUGUUAUUUUUUUUAAGAUUCUAUUUAUUUACUUGA